GCCCGGGGGGCUCAGUAGGUUGAGCGUCCGACUUCCACUCAGGUCAUGAUCUCGCAGGUUCGUGGGUUCGAGCCCCGCGUCGGGCU
rnacentral:tRNA from 1 species